GUGGGAAGGGCGAAUCCCCUGGAGCAGGGAGGAGGUCCGAGGGGUCCACAGGCCACACGGGGAGUGGCAGUUCCUCUGCAGAGAGGACAUUUGGUAGAGGCUGUGCAGCCCCCCCACAGGCAAAGGUUCCAGCUGACACUGGAGGACAAAUCACAUUCGCUGGUGUUGGCACAAGGACUUUAAGGGGGAAGCCGGGCGCUAGAUGGGUGUUGUGAUUUUCCAUAAACCCUGAAACGCUGCUGUUACAAGUUCGCGUGAACUCUUUAUGGGGCGGGCUGGCACCCAGCUGCAAUCUCUGCACACCAGCAGCUCAGUCUCCUGAACCUUCCUGAGGGCGGGCCAGCACCGCCAUGCUCAGCAAGAUCCUCCCCCAGCCGAAGUUCCUUAGAGCUGAGUGGUUGGAGGGAGGGGCCAACAUGGCAGAGAAGUAGGGGGGUCGGAAGUUCACUCAUCUCUCAGUGAGUGAGGCCAAAAGACUUUGAACUCCAAGAGUCCGGGAAGAAAAGAGGCAGAGUUGCUUCUAGGGAUCCAAAGGGACAACCCAGCAGGCCAAGGUGGGACUUCAGCCCACGGACCCACAGUGAAAGCGGACGAGCACGCCAAACCACGCCCCUCCACGCUUGGACAGAUGCCCCCAGUGGAGGCAGGACUGCUUACACGAAGCCUCACCCCUCUGUGCCUGGUAACUGCAUAACUGCUCAGCUACCGGAAUGAGGCUGACACUGACAGAACCAGACGGCCACUCCUCCGGACCAGUAUAGCCACCGGUCCCAGGCACCGGCAGACAUCCGCCCUACAGUUUUAACGGCUGACUUCCAGUGAAUGCAUCACCAGCCUACCUUGCCCUAUUGGCCUGCGAUUGGGUUCGGCAGAUGCGAAGCACUGGUAGGCCAUCAGGAAGUAGGAGAGACCAGGAUAUGUAUUCUUCUCUCUCCCUGUGCUGUUCUGAACUGGAAGUUUGACAUGUAGAAGAUAACCUUCACUUAUAUAUCCAUGUUGUCCCCGAGAGUGUAGCCUUCCUGUGCUGAGCUGGGAGUCCUGGGGACUUGGAACUUGGUGUUCAUGUAACACCUCCUGGGUGUCUCAUUUCACUGUUUUCCUUUGCACAAUGUGGAGCAUUUGCUUCAGGUUGGCCAUGUGAGUGAGGAAUUUCCUACAAGAUGCCUCAUGACUUUGGAGGACAGCGAAGACAAAGCCAAGGUCCAUAUUGAGUUUUGGCAUCUUAAACUCAGAAUGUCCUAUAUCAUAAGCCAAACUGGAUUCACUAAAUGUCUUCCAAACUUGUUACUGACAAGUACAUCUUCUCCCAUUCUAGAAUAUACAGGUGUUUCUAUUUUAAAGCAUGCACAGCGCUUUAUUUCUACCCUAACAAGUGCUUUGCUUCUUUAUUUCGGCCAUUGUUAUAUAGAAUCUGUGAUAAAUAAAGUGCCUUUAAUUUA